ensembl:misc_RNA Metazoa_SRP Metazoan signal recognition particle RNA
AUGCCGAUCGGUGUCUGCACUAAGUUCGGCAUCAAUAUGGUGACCUCCCUGGAGCGGGGGACCACCAGAUUGCCUAAGGAGGGGUGAACCGGCCCAGGUCGGAAACGGAGCAGGUCAAAACUCCCGUGCUGAUCAGUAAUGGGAUCGCGCCUGUGAAU